UCUGUGUGUUUUGAAACCAUCUUCUUCAUUCCAAAAGUGGAUAGGCUACAAAACAAGAUGACAGCCACAUCAACAUCAACAUCAAGUCUGCAAUUCUGCAUGAGAAGCUGGGAUAAAACAUCUGCAAGCAGGCUGAUCUUUUUUGCUUGUUUAAAAAGUUGUCAUCUAACAUUUUAAGAAAUGCAUUUGAGAACAUCUGUUAAGAUCCUUUCUCAUGAAGACCCUUCCAAGAAGACAACAACUGAAGAUGAUUCUGGUACAACUAGUCUGGGAUCCAGUAAACAAGAUGCUAUUAGGAAGUCCAGGACACAAAGAAUGACCUUCGACUUAUCAACGGGUCAUGCAAAAAUCCAUACUUUUAGUUCCAAAACCUGCCACUGACUAAUACAUGAUGUCAACUCUUUGUUACUAUAUGUUACUUUCAACAUUGCAGGAGCUGUGUGAAGUCAUAUGAGUACAAGGAAUUAGGAAUGGGAAAGGUUUGGUUAUAUGUCUACAACUUCCUGGAUCUCCAAUCAGCAUGAUCUCCACAGGCAAAAAAAAUUGGAACUUGUAGACCAAAGAAACAAUUUCAUCAGCGAUUUCACUCACAUACCAAUGCUUCAUCAAUUUCACAAACAUUUGCUGAGGUAUUUGGCUGUCCCAUUUCUAACUAAAUAUUUUCACUACCUUUAA